GCAACACACGAGUGGAAUGAACGAGCCUGCCCUGCCCAAUGUAAUGCAGUGGAACACACCGACUAGUGUAGCGUACUGAAGCCCAGUCUUGUGGAGGACUGUGUGCAAGAUCAUAGCAAGACUUCUUGCUAGCAUAUGCUUGUGUUUAAUGCAGCGACCUGAUUCUGCAUGGUGAGUUUACACAUACCCUGCAGUGAAGGUACUGUGUGCGUGUUUAAGUGUGUGCGUGUGUGUGUAAUAUCAGUGUGUAAUCAGUGUACCUCAAACAGGCUGAGUAUAACUAGGCCUGGUGUUGCAAGAGAGAUGCAGACCUGCUCCUCUCUGCCAGAACAAGUUGACUCUAUCAAACCCUGCACAUUGAAUGUGUCGUCAUCGUGCUACUGGAAUCUCCACCUUCAGAUGAGCUACAAGUUAAGAUUCAGUGAAGCUAACCCACUCAGUGAUCCACUAUGAAAGUGAAGAUGAAGACUUAAAGUAAUUCCAACUGUACAGGAAUCGGGAGAACCUGCAAUUGCUCUGGUGCAAAGGAGGCAAAUGAAGCUUUUAAGCCAGGUGGAUGGAGGGAAGGGUGAGGAGGCCUUCCCACUGAAAAGAUUAAUUGACUUUCUGCACAAUGUCACUUAUCCUCUGACUGGUGAGUGCUUCCGUGCUUGGGCUAUGAAAUAAUAUCAUUGUUACUUGCAGCAAUUUGCAUGGUGGAGAGUGAAGGCAAAAAUCGGAGAACCCACGUUGUGCAGGUGUAUCUACCGAUGUAUUUGCAGUAGAUGGCUCAUCUUGUUUCUAUAACUUCAAGCAUGGAUUUGGUUGUGAUAGAUGAAACCGAUGUAACGAUGAACAAAGACUAAGGUUCCCCACCCCCACCAUGCCGUAGAUUCCGUCACCACCCACAGCUGCACAGACUUCUCCUGUCACGGUGAUAAUCUCUUUGUCACCAUCCGUCUGUUGCAGAUUUGUACGUCUGAUUCGGUGAAUGUCCGAGUGGCUGGUCUGACUUCAGUGCCACAGGAUGUUCGUGGCACUGUUUCUGUGUGUGUGUGUGUGUGUGUGCGUGUGUGUGUGUGUGUGUGUGUGUGCGUGUGCAUGUGUAUCACUGCCAUAGGUGGUGGGAUCUGCAUCCCUGUCAAAAUGAGUAACUGUCCAGAUUUACACUUGAAUAUUAAGGG